UACGGAGGGUGCACGCGUUAGUCGGCAUUACUGGGCGUAAAGGGUGCGUAGGCGGGGAUGUAAGUCAGACGUGAAAUUCCGAAGCUCAACUUCGGAGCGGCAUCUGAAACUGCAUUUCUAGAGGAAGAGCGGAGAAAACGGAAUUCCAUGUGUAGCGGUGAAAUGCGUAGAUAUAUGGAGGAACACCUGUGGCGAAAGCGGUUUUCUGGCUUACUCCUGACGCUGAGGCACGAAAGCAAGGGGAGCAAACAGG
rnacentral:rRNA from 1 species